rnacentral:rRNA from 1 species
CCCUUAGAUGUUCUGGGCCGCGCGCGCGCUACACUGACGAAGUCAGCGAGCAUCUCCUACGCCGAAAGGUGCGGGGAAUCUUGUGAAACUUUGUCGUGCUGGGGAUUGAUUUUUGAAAUUCUUGAUCAUCAACGAGGAAUUCCUAGUAAGCGCAAGUCAGCAGCUUGCGUUGAUUACGUCCCUGCCCUUUGUACACACCGCCCGUCGCUACUACCGAUUGAAUGGUUUAGUGAGAUUUUUGGACUGGAACUCUCUUGUUCAGCAAUGAACGAGAGGGACUCUGGGAAGCUAUUCUAACUGUAUCAUUUAGAGGAAGUAAAAGUCGUAACA